rnacentral:tRNA from 1 species
GCCCAGCUAGUUCAGUCGGUAGAGCAUGAGACUCAAUCUCAGGGUCAUGGGUUUAAGCCCCACAUCGGGCA